UACGUAGGGUGCUAGCGUUGUUCGGAAUUACUGGGCGUAAAGCGCACGUAGGCGGCUUUGUACGUUAGAGGUGAAAGCCCGGGGCUCAACUCCGGAAUUGCCUUUAAGACUGCAUCGCUAGAAUUGUGGAGAGGUAAGUGGAAUUCCGAGUGUAGAGGUGAAAUUCGUAGAUAUUCGGAAGAACACCAGUGGCGAAGGCGACUUACUGGACACAUAUUGACGCUGAGGUGCGAAAGCGUGGGGAGCAAACAGG
rnacentral:rRNA from 1 species